CGUCAGGAACCGCCUAAUCGGGAUCUCCGCGAGGAACCCGAACCGGGAACCCAAGUUUCCACUGGGGUGAAUCCCGCCUGGGGUGCAGCACGCAUGAUCGCUGCGGACCACGCGGGUAGGGCUGAUCUUCCCAGCCCGAACCCGUCAGCUAACUCGGUCGGCGGAUGAAUGGAAGAAAU
rfam:Rhodococcus erythropolis PR4 DNA, complete genome.